GAGACAACCAGGAUAACAGUGAAGAGACCAUGGUGUGAAGAAGAGAGAAGGGCAGUAAACAAACGUCUAGCAAGAGAACCUUUUGGAUCCCAGCCUGCAUGCACGAUUUGUUUCAUGUGCCAGUAAUGAACUGCCCAAAGCCCUGCAAAACCUCAAGGAAAAUAGCGACAGCAAUGGUCUGGACCACUUCCUUGGUCUUCUUGGGGGGUUAUUGGUUGGCUCCUCUGGCCACAGGCCAGGUGUCAUCCUCAGCCUCACCACAGAAGAAGUCAUCGACUCUAAAGAGGGACAGGAUGGCCACGCCAUUUUUGUGAAAAUCCACAAAACGAGCAGGGCCUUUGGCCAUGCCAUAUUAGCAGUGACAAAACAGGAGUACUAAUACAUGAGCAUGUGCGUCUGGUGAAAAGUGGGUGCUGACUUUGGCAGGCCCAUAUGUACCCACACUUUUGAAAAAGCCUUGAGGAGGCCUUUGUACAGCCCACCCUUUUAUGGCCCUAAGGACCUCAGUGUCCACACAAAGAUGUACCAAAGAACAUCUGCAAAAUCAUUAACUGAGCCACAAGCUGAACCAGAUGUAGCUGAGGAAGACUUGGGGAGUUUCUGUGUCAUUGUUAA